CCGCAGUCUGUUUUAGUUGGGCACAAAAAAUGAAAUUGCCCGUCAAGAUGCUCAGCACUUAACCUUACUUUGAUUUGUUUCCUUAAUCUUUCUAUUCGGCAACUCAAUCCUUUUUGGUGGGAUCCAUCUUCUGGUUUUAUAUGAUACACAAGCUGAAGUCCAUUUACCAUCGUCCUAGUUUCAACUUUUCAGCCGCUUCAAAUCAAGAUUUUUAUCGCUACUUGCAAAGAAAG
rnacentral:lncRNA from 1 species